GGUGAUGUAGUGUAGUGGUAGUGAGUCAUCCUUUAUUCAUAAAACAGUAAGAAAAAGUACUGACCCGAAGAAAGUCACGUAACGUUGUGGCCGUUCCGACCUGGGUUCGAUUCCCAGCAUCGCCA